rnacentral:misc_RNA from 1 species
GAUGAAGAACGUAGCGAAAUGCGAUAAGUAGUGUGAAUUGCAGAAUUCCGUGAAUCAUCGAAUCUUUGAACGCACAUUGCGCCUUCUGGUAUUCCGGAAGGCAUGCCUGUUCGAGAGUCAUUAACAACCGUUUCGAUCCCUUUCUUUCAGAAAUUACAAAGAGGAAAAGGGUUUGGUUAUGGUGGAGGAGGGAAAGGGAGCGUUUAGCCUGUAAAAAAAGAGGCUGUGUUCCGCCUCCCCCCCAAAGUUGUACAGGCGGUCGUGUGCGCCCACGCAUCGAGGUGUUGUAAAAGCUGCCACGGCACUUUUCACCUGUGCAGUGCGAGAUUGGCCAGCCGGUUUAAAAACCCCUCCAAACAAUCAAAGGUUGACCUCGGAUCAGGUAGGGAUACCCGCUGAACUUAAGCAUAUCAAUAAGCGGAGGA